UUAAGUCCCGCAACGAGCGCAACCCUCGCCUUUAGUUGCCAGCACUUCGGGUGGGCACUCUAGAGGAACUGCCGGUGACAAGCCGGAGGAAGGUGGGGAUGACGUCAAGUCCUCAUGGCCCUUAUGGGCUGGGCUACACACGUGCUACAAUGGCGGUGACAGAGGGAAAGCCAGGUCGUGAGGCCGAGCCGAUCCCAAAAAGCCGUCUCAGUUCAGAUCGUACCCUGCAACUCGGGUACGUGAAGGUGGAAUCGCUAGUAAUCGCGGAUCAGCAUGCCACGGUGAAUACGUUCCCGGGCCUUGUACACACCGCCCGUCACACCAUGGGAGUUGGUUCUACCUUAAGUGGCUGCGCUAACCGCAAGGAGGCAGGUCACCACGGUAGGGUCAGCGACUGGGGUGAAGUCGUAACAAGGUAACC
rnacentral:rRNA from 1 species